AUCUUAGCGGCGAAUGGGUGAGUGACACGUACUCAACGUACCUCUUAGAUUGGGAUAGCGAACGGAAACGUUCGAUAAUACCAAAUACUUAUUAGUUUCGCAUGAAACUUAUAUAAAAAGAGCCUUUAAAGCUCCGCUGAGAGAUCGGGGUGCGCAACAUUAGCUAGUUGGUGAGGUAACGGCCCACCAAGGCGAUGAUGUUUAGCGGGGUUGAGAGACUGAACCGCCACACUGGGACUGAGAUACGGCCCAGACUCCUACGGGAGGCAGCAGUAGGGAAUAUUCCACAAUGAGCGAAAGCUUGAUGGAGCGACACAGCGUGCAGGAUGAAGGUCCUAUGGAUUGUAAACUGCUGUGGUAAGGGAAGAAAAAGUCAUAGAGGAAAUGCUAUGACAUUGACGGUACCUUAUUAGAAAGCAACGGCUAACUAUGUGCCAGCAGCCGCGGUAAUACAUAGGUUGCAAGCGUUAUCCGGAAUUAUUGGGCGUAAAGCGUCUGUAGGUUGUUUGUUAAGUCUGGCGUCAAAUUUUGGGGCUCAACCCCAAACCGCGUUGGAUACUGGCAAACUAGAGUUGUGUAGAGGUUAGCGGAAUUCCUUGUGAAGCGGUGAAAUGCGUAGAUAUAAGGAAGAACACCAUUUUGGCGAAGGCGGCUAACUGGGCAUAUACUGACACUGAGAGACGAAAGCGUGGGGAGCAAACAGGAUUAGAUACCCUGGUAGUCCACGCCCUAAACGAUGAUCAUUAGCUGAUGGAGAAUUCGUCGGCGCAGCUAACGCAUUAAAUGAUCCGCCUGAGUAGUACGUUCGCAAGAAUAAAACUUAAAGGAAUUGACGGGGAUCCGCACAAGCGGUGGAGCAUGUGGUUUAAUUUGAAGAUACGCGUAGAACCUUACCCACUCUUGACAUCU
rnacentral:rRNA from 1 species